rnacentral:tRNA from 2 species
GGGCGUAUAGCUCAGCGGGAGAGCACCUCGUUGACAUCGAGGGGGUCACAAGUUCAAUCCUUGUUACGCCCACCA